GCCGAUCAGUCGAGUGGGACUUGGUCGCGUGAACUGACCAGUAAGGACAGGCAGUCGUUGCUUUGACUGUCGUUAAAUUAACCACAAUUACCAGCGAGGCCUACACGCACGCGCCUUCCUCUAUACGCCUACUAUGAAAAAGAUUUUGUUCCUGUAAUGAGUUCAAUUUCAAGAAUUCAGAUGGCGUUGAGCAAUAUUCAGAACAAUGGCGAAAUAUCUACGUGAUUCAGUUCGAGCAAAUUUGGAAGGAGAGGGAUGAAUGACAACAAUUAACAAGUUAGUUGUCAAUUACCACGUUAUCGUUCGCGAUACCGAAACACAAAUGAACACGUCAUGCAUACAAACAGUUGAUAGCUUUAUUGAAUUAAUUUUUUUUUUUGUAUCCGACUACACUGUAGUCGACGAAAAAUAAAACGCAAAAAGAAUAAGAUGCAAAUAUAUUCAACGCAGUUUUAAAAAAAAAUUUUAAAAAAAAAGUUUAAAAAAAAAAUAUAAAUAGAAGAUUAAAACGUAACAUUGUAGACAGAUGGAAGGAGAAAAAUCUUCACGCACGAGCUGUACACAUAAAUUGAUAUGCAGUGCAAUGUUUCUCUAUCAACUUCCUUCCUGCACGAAUUGAAGGGAAGCGUCAAAUGGUUAUUGCGUCGUGGUCGGUUUAGUUCAUUUUUCGUUAUCUCAAAUUCAAAUUAUAUCGUAACGUGUACGUAGUGAAUUGAAGACUGUCACUAUAACAGCAAGUGAAAAAGAUAGUGAGAUAGGCGUCUCGGUCUUGCUACAAAAAUUAAUCAUUAAGCUCUCUUUUACACAAGAAUUCGCCUCGUCAAUUAUCAAGAUUUAUGUUACGACUGGCACGCCCUCUUAAACGAAUCGUCGCAACCAUGCAUUAAAACAUAGGUUAAGAAUUCAUAUAAAUCGAUUUUUAACGAAAUGACCGUCAAUUUGACAAAUUUUACGGCCAAUAGUUAAAUUAAUAAUAAAUUAAUAAUAAAUAAUUCAAGCGCAUGAAUUUUAUUAUGUUCUUGAAUUUCAAAAUAAACAUGUAAAUCAAAAUUUUUAUUAUUUUCUUUUUAAUUUCUUUUUUACGAAAAAUAAAUUUGAUUUGAUUCUAAAUGAUUCAAAAAACUGAUUUAAAAAACACAACUACAUCUAAGAUAAAAUCUCUUAAAAUUAAAAAAUAUUGAAAUAAAUGUAAAAAUUAUUUUAUAUAAUUUAUAUUUUUAUAUAUAUGAUAAUUAAUGUAUAUUUGUAUAAAUAAUCACUAAAUUUUCAAUUAUGAUGAAUUUUGGUUUUCACUAUGUGAAAAAUAAUUUUUCUUUCUGAAGUCAUUUUAAUUUUUCAUUUAAAUCUACUUUUAAUUAAAAUAUAAAUACACUCGUUUGUUAGCAAUAUGUUGUGAUCAAAAAAAUUUUCAAAAUUUUUAUUUCCCUGUUUUUUUGAAUUUUCAAUAUUACUAAAAAUUUUUCGCGAAAUAUUUAAAACAAAUUUGCAUGUUUUAUUAUUGCCUUUUUUUAUGUGUGUAAAAAUUGAAAUUGAAAGAGAAGACAAAAAGGAAGAGAGAAAAAGAGAUAAAAUAUCAUAUAAAAUGUCAAAGAUUAUUAAAAAUAUUGACAUUUUUAAUAAAAAAUAUAAAAAAUAAUAAUGAAGAGAACCACAUAAUUUAUUUAAAAAAAAAAUUUUAAUUGAGAUAAAAUUAAAAAAAUUCAAAUUCAACUCUGUGUAUCUAUCAUCUUAAAAUUUGUAAUCAAUCAUGUAAUAAUCGUAAUAUUUUCUUAAAUAAUAACUGUAACAUAAUAAUUAUCAUAAAUAUUAAAAAUGAUUAAACUUAAAUAAAAUUUAAUUGUUUUUCAAAAUUAUUCAAAAUUUCAUGUUUAACUAAAAAAUUUAAAAAAUUUUGAUUAUGUUUCAAAACAUUCAAAUAUAUAUGUACGCAUAUAAUUCUUUAAUCGUAAAAACAGAUUAGAAGUUCCGACCAACAAGGAAGCCAUAUGGAACCCCUUGAUUUUCUCUGCUGCAUGGUAUGGGGGACCUUUACACAUCGACCGGAAGUUAGCUACUAGAGUUCGUAUGCCAUAUGGUAGGAACGAAUUUAUUCGAAGAACACGAUGUAAUUCUGUUCCGUGCAAUGCUCGCUUUUACACUCACCAAUGAUUUAGAAAAAGUGUCUUUUUUUUUUAAAUCAUUGCAUUUAAGAAAAAAGCAAUUUCAAAUUUUCUCAGAAUUAUUUUUAUCAUUAAUGAUCGAAAAUAAUGAUUCAAUAGAAAGUUUAAUUAUGUUAUUGAAAAGAUUAUUUUUCUAAUAAAAGGAAGUUUGAUAAC